UGCUGAAUGAGCAUCUUGCCUCGCCAUGUGCGGGACCACUUCUCUGGGAUGUAGGUUUUCUUUUCCUUGUUUUACAGGUGAGCCAACAGAGGCCCAGAAAAGCUGAGUGACUUGUUGAAGAUGCCCUCGCCGGUGAGAAGGGGACCCUGGGUGGUGGUGGAUUCUGAAGACAUGUGGUUUUUACUGGCUGAGGCUCAGCUGGACCACCCACACAUCUGUUUCCAGCCUGGGGGCCCUUGGAUCUUCCGUGAGACCGAGAUGGCUCCUGAGUCAUAAGUGAUGUCACCUCCAUCCAAGCCUCCUGGAGCAUUUUGUUAAAUGAACCUGGGGCAGCGCCUUCCAGAACAGUCUGACUCUAGGUUUGCAACUCAAAAUUACACUACACCACAGGACCUAUGAGAUGACUUCUGUCUAGAGGACAAGGCGGACCCGUCCCACCAAGAUAGGGCUAAGUCACUCAUCAGAACACACGUCUGAAUUAUUCCCCUGAACUUUAUGAAGACUGCUAAGAUCAAGUCUUACUAAGAAUGAUUAAAUAAACAAAAACCUGACUUCUUUCCAGUGCCAGUUGAAUGCUCUUUCUUGAGCACAAGUAGCAAAAAAUGAAAAGAGAAAAGCAAAUCAUUCCCAACACGGGGCACGGAGUUUCCCUGGUCUUUAGUCCAUGUUCUCACAUCUUCCUAAUUCCUCUCUCCCUUUUCCCUCCCUCUCCUUCCUCCUGCUUCUUCUCCUCCCAACAAAUGAACUUGUAAUCAUCAGUUAGCAAUCCUCAGGAAAAGCUUCAAGAGGAAGGCGGUGUAUUGUGAAGCAGGAAACAA